rnacentral:rRNA from 1 species
ACCGUGAAACUGCGAAUGGCUCAUUAAAUCAGUUAUAGUUUAUUUGAUGGUACCUUGCUACAUGGAUAACUGUGGUAAUUCUAGAGCUAAUACAUGCAAUAAAGCCCCGACUUCCGGAAGGGGUGUAUUUAUUAGAUAAAAAACCAACGCGGUUCGCCGCUCCUUUGGUGAUUCAUAAUAACUUCUCGAAUCGCACGGCCUUGUGCUGGCGAUGCUUCAUUCAAAUAUCUGCCCUAUCAACUUUCGAUGGUAGGAUAGUGGCCUACCAUGGUUUCAACGGGUAACGGGGAAUUAGGGUUCGAUUCCGGAGAGGGAGCCUGAGAAACGGCUACCACAUCCAAGGAAGGCAGCAGGCGCGCAAAUUACCCAAUCCCGACACGGGGAGGUAGUGACAAUAAAUAACAAUAUAGGGCCCUUUCGGGUCUUAUAAUUGGAAUGAGUACAAUUUAAAUCCCUUAACGAGGAACAAUUGGAGGGCAAGUCUGGUGCCAGCAGCCGCGGUAAUUCCAGCUCCAAUAGCGUAUAUUAAAGUUGUUGCAGUUAAAAAGCUCGUAGUUGAACUUCAGACCUGGCCGGAUGGUCUGCCUCACGGUAUGUACUGUCUCGGCCGGGCCUUACCUCUUGGUGAGCCAUCAUGUCCUUCACUGGGUGUGGUGGGGAACCAGGACUUUUACCUUGAGAAAAUUAGAGUGUUCAAAGCAGGCCUACGCCCGAAUACAUUAGCAUGGAAUAAUAAAAUAGGACGUGCGGUUCUAUUUUGUUGGUUUCUAGAGUCGCCGUAAUGAUUAAUAGGGAUAGUUGGGGGCAUUAGUAUUCAGUUGCUAGAGGUGAAAUUCUUGGAUUUACUGAAGACUAACUACUGCGAAAGCAUUUGCCAAGGAUGUUUUCAUUAAUCAAGAACGAAGGUUAGGGGAUCGAAAACGAUCAGAUACCGUUGUAGUCUUAACAGUAAACUAUGCCGACUAGGGAUCGGGCGAACUCAAUUUUAUGUGGCGCUCGGCACCUUACGAGAAAUCAA